UUAACGCUGAGGUGUGAUGACGAGGCACUACGGUGCUGAAGUAACAAAUGCCCUGCUUCCAGGAAAAGCCUCUAAGCAUCAGGUAACACGAAAUCGUACCCCAAACCGACACAGGUGGUCAGGUAGAGAAUACCAAGGCGCUUGAGAGAACUCGGGUGAAGGAACUAGGCAAAAUGGUGCCGUAACUUCGGGAGAAGGCACGCUGAUAUGUAGGUGAAGCCCCUGCGGGUGGAGCUGAAAUCAGUCGAAGAUACCAGCUGGCUGCAACUGUUUAUUAAAAACACAGCACUGUGCAAACACGAAAGUGGACGUAUACGGUGUGACGCCUGCCCGGUGCCGGAAGGUUAAUUGAUGGGGUUAGCGGUAACGCGAAGCUCUUGAUCGAAGCCCCGGUAAACGGCGGCCGUAACUAUAACGGUCCUAAGGUAGCGAAAUUCCUUGUCGGGUAAGUUCCGACCUGCACGAAUGGCGUAAUGAUGGCCAGGCUGUCUCCACCCGAGACUCAGUGAAAUUGAACUCGCUGUGAAGAUGCAGUGUACCCGCGGCAAGACGGAAAGACCCCGUGAACCUUUACUAUAGCUUGACACUGAACACUGGUCCUUGAUGUGUAGGAUAGGUGGGAGGCUUUGAAGCGUGGACGCCAGUCUGCGUGGAGCCGACCUUGAAAUACCACCCUUUAAUGGCUGGUGUUCUAACGUAGACCCGUAAUCCGGGUUGCGGACAGUGUCUGGUGGGUAGUUUGACUGGGGCGGUCUCCUCCCAAAGAGUAACGGAGGAGCACGAAGGUUAGCUAAUCCUGGUCGGACAUCAGGAGGUUAGUGCAAUGGCAUAAGCUAGCUUGACUGCGAGAGUGACGGCUCGAGCAGGUGCGAAAGCAGGUCAUAGUGAUCCGGUGGUUCUGAAUGGAAGGGCCAUCGCUCAACGGAUAAAAGGUACUCCGGGGAUAACAGGCUGAUACCGCCCAAGAGUUCAUAUCGACGGCGGUGUUUGGCACCUCGAUGUCGGCUCAUCACAUCCUGGGGCUGAAGUAGGUCCCAAGGGUAUGGCUGUUCGCCAUUUAAAGUGGUACGCGAGCUGGGUUUAGAACGUCGUGAGACAGUUCGGUCCCUAUCUGCCGUGGGCGCUGGAGAAUUGAGGGGGGCUGCUCCUAGUACGAGAGGACCGGAGUGGACGCAUCACUGGUGUUCGGGUUGUCAUGCCAAUGGCACUGCCCGGUAGCUAAAUGCGGAAAAGAUAAGUGCUGAAAGCAUCUAAGCACGAAACUUGCCCCGAGAUGAGUUCUCCCUGACCCUUUAAGGGUCCUGAAGGAACGUUGAAGACUACGACGUUGAUAGGUCGGGUGUGUAAGCGCAGCGAUGCGUUGAGCUAACCGAUACUAAUGAACCGUGAGGCUUAACCUU
rnacentral:rRNA from 1 species